rnacentral:miRNA from 1 species
AUGCGCAAUAUCAAACCUCAAG